rnacentral:rRNA from 1 species
AACGUAGGACACAAGCGUUAUCCGGAGUUACUGGGCGUAAAGGGCGUGUAGGCGGACCUAUAAGUCUAUUCUGAAAGCUCCUGGCUAAACUGGGAGAGGCGAAUGGAGACUGUAGAUCUAGAGUGAGGAAGAGGAAAGUGGAAUUCCGCGUGUAGUGGUGAAAUGCGUAGAGAUGCGGAGGAACACCAGUGGCGAAAGCGACUUUCUGGUCCUUAACUGACGGCUGAGGCGGCGAAAAGCAUGGGGGAGCCGAACGGGG